AUUUAGCACUUCUGUAAGCACCUGGGAUGCUCCAAGCACCUACGCAUCUGCUCCUCAUUACCACCCCGCUUCCCAUUUGCAGCAUCUCUGCCCCCUGCCCACGCGCACCUCCGGCAGUGAUAGCUCACCCCUAAAAACAGGGCUGCCCCCAGCUUUCCCCUGGUCCUCUCCUUUGGGGCGGGGAGCUGCAGCCUUGUUCUGCUUUGGGGCUGGGGCAGGAGGCUGCCCUCCAGGAAUGGGAAGAGCAAUCCACGUCCUCUGGUGUGACAGCCUAUGGGCCUGGGGACAUGUGGCAGCUUGGUGCAGCAGAGGAGCUCUUGGGGGCUGUAUCUCCAGGAGGUCCCCUGGGGCUGUCAGAUGUGAUGGGCAAGAUGCAAACUGCGGCUGCAAAGUCCUAACCCAGCGGCUGGGCUGUGUCAGGAAGAACCACGUCAGCUGUGGCCAGUUGGGGCUGCCGUGGAGGAGCCAACCUGCUUCACAAAGCGCCAUUAAAGCCAAGGCUCUGGGAGCGCAGCUGGCUCGGACAAACGCUAGAGCUGUCCCACGGCACUGGAACACGCAAGGCUGUGGCCAGGAUUUUUACCCAUUUUGGUUAAAGUGUGGGGUCAUCAUAGUGUUUUAGGAUGAACUGGUGAGACGGUGCUACUGCCACGUGAUGCUCAGGUGGGCAGCCCCUUGUCCCCGUGGAUUACCAGGACAUUCAAAGCCUCCCUGGAUGGAGAGCACUCCGUGUCCAGCUCUCUUCCCCAGCUGCUCUUCCACCAAGUGAAUCUGCAAAGAUGAAUUUGUCCGAUUUAGACGUUCAGGUGCUUUCACAAAUCACCUGGGCCCUUUCCAUCUCCACAGCCAGCUGGGGGCUCGUACAGGGGGAGCAGGGCCCAUCAGCAUAUGCAAGCCUGGGAAUGCCUCCAGAGCAGCCUGGGAUGUUGGCCUGAGCCUGCUGGUGGGCAAUGCAGACACAUCUGCAGAUGUGACUGUCUCUAUUAAAGCCAUAAAAUACUCUCCGAGCCCUGGGGAGGGCUGACAGCAUGGGGUUCAGGCACGGUUUGCUUAGGAUUGCUGGUGAGGUCUUCCUCCGUUUUCCUCCACUGUUUCAGGCCCUGGUUCUCCACCACGCGCUGGAGGUUUGCUUGUAACACAUUGCUGGUGCUACAUCAAGGGCUUUGCAGGGAUGAUUCCCCCCUGAUCAAAGCGGCCGAUUCAAGCUGCAGCAUGUAUGGGGAGGAGGGAGGCAGCCACCUGUUAGGGAAAUGCUUUG
rnacentral:lncRNA from 1 species